rnacentral:lncRNA from 1 species
AUUUGUGCAAUACAAGCAGAAUUAUCUUCAUAGAUAAUUGUAGGAUUCGUGAUCGAACCUAUACCACAUGACUGUUGUACGUGAUUAAUCAUUUUGCAAAGUCAUACGCAUUCACGUGAAGUUUCAAAUAAUGCAAUUAUUUGAGAAUGAUUUGUGGAUGUGACUAGCCUAUUUUGAUGACUUCCAUGAUAUAGUCGUUCCACCAUGUAAAAAUAUAAAGCCUAUUUGAGAUAUGGCAUUAUGGGGAUCAGAUAAAUAGCCAGCAUCUGUAUAUCCAAUCAUAGUUUUAUCUUGGCCAAAUUUAUAAAAUAAGCCAAGUGUAUUGUCCCUUGGAGAAAUCUGAAGAUAUUCUUAACUCCCAC